rnacentral:rRNA from 1 species
AUGGCUGAAAUUGUUCUUCUUCUAGUCAUUGAAAAGAUGGUAAUCGCCGUAGCAAAUGGAGCAGCAAAUCAGGCGAGUGCUCAUUUUUCCAAGUAUGGGACCCAACUAAUAGAGCUACAGGGCAGCAUGGGCCGCGUUGUUAGGGAGCUUCGUAUAAUUCAUGAUGUUCUAUGUCAAAUGGACAUUCGAAACCGCCACAAUCAAGUGUAUGAGGGCUGGUUGGAUGAGGUGCGGAAGGUAGCACAUGCGAUGGAGGAUAUGGUGGAUGAGUACAUGUAUCAAGUUGGCCGGGAACAUGAUACUGGGUGUUGCUUCUACCUGAAGAAAGGGCUUAGAAAACCAAGAUCUCUGCUUUCCUUGAAUCAGAUAUCUUCCAAAGUGAAGGAAAUAGAGAAAGACCUUGCACACCUGUCAGAGAUGAAAUACCGAUGGGUUCCCAUGAUAAACAAUGAAGAUACUGGCAGCUUGAAUUACAUGGUCAAGAAGUCUCAAGAUCUAGCAAACAUCUCACGUUCCCUUGAUGACGAAGAUCUAGUUGGGGUGGAUGAAAAUAGAGGAAAACUUGAGCAAUGGUUGGGAAGUGACGAUGUGGAACGUUCCCUGAUAACACUGAUAGGAAUGGGUGGGCUGGGCAAAACAGCUUUAGCAUCAAAUGUCUAUAGGAAAGAGAGAGAGAAAUUUCAGUGCCAUGCAUGGGUCUCCAUCUCUCAAACUUAUUCUAGAGAAGAUGUCUUGAGGAAUAUAAUCAAGGAAUUAUUCAAAAAUGAAGUCAGUGGUCCAUCAAACAUUGCAGCGAUGGAUAUCACAAGCCUUGAAGAGACAUUGAAGAGGUAUCUAGGGCAAAUGAAGUAUUUGAUCAUAUUAGAUGAUGUUUGGACUCCAGAUGCAUUUGAAGACCUGUCUAGGUCACUUGUUUGUAAUGGUAAGUGA